CCUACGGGUAGCAGCAGUAGGGAAUAUUGGUCAAUGGGGGAAACCCUGAAGCAGCAACGCCGCGUGGAGGAUGAAGGUUUUCGGAUUGUAAACUCCUUUUUUUAGAGGAGAUAAUGACGGUAUCUAACGAAUUAGCACCGGCUAACUCCGUGCCAGCAGCCGCGGUAAUACGGAAGGUGCAAGCGUUACUCGGAAUCACUGGGCGUAAAGGGCACGUAGGCGGGAUAGCAAGUGAGAUGUGAAAUCCUAUGGCUUAACCAUAGAACUGCAUUUGAAACUGUUAUUCUUGAGGACGAGGGAGGUAGGUGGAAUUCUUGGUGUAGGGGUAAAAUCCGUAGAGAUCAAGAGGAAUACUGAUUGCGAAGGCGACCUGCUAGAACAUAACUGACGCUGAUGCGCGAAAGCGUGGGGAGCAAACAGGAUUAGAUACCCGUGUAGUC
rnacentral:rRNA from 1 species